rnacentral:tRNA from 1 species
GUUAAGAUGGCAGAGCCCGGCAAUUGCGUAAAACUUAAAACUUUAAAACCAGAGGUUCAACUCCUCUUCUUAACA